UACAACACACAUGCUAGAAAUUCCAACGCCACGUGUGGCCAAACCCAACCACUAAGUCCUACCCGUAGACAGCUUUAUCACACGUUGGAUAAUCCAACGCCAAGUGUGAUAAAGUACAACAUAACCAAAUGUGCCCACACACCGGAUAAUCUAACGCCACGUGUGGAUACAGUAACUAGGGGAGGGUACUUAACAUGGUGUAAUCACAUGUUCACAUAACAAUCCACAUAGUACCCUAAC
rnacentral:lncRNA from 1 species